GGGAAGCAUUGUGGUUUGGAGCUCUGACAGAGUGAUCUGGAGUAGGGAAGAGGCAGUCCUCAAAAGGAAGGUAGCGUUGUUUCCAGGAGAAGGGGGAAAUUAUGCUGAGUAGUUAAAAAUCAAGUGAUGUCCCCUACAGAAAUUGUUUGAGGAAGAAACAGAAGUGGAGAGAGUGAGUGAAGGGAGCGCAAAAUAAACUUAUCCUUAAGCAUCACAAUUUAGCAAAGUCGUUGGAAGAGCCUAGUUUCCAAAUGCCAAAGAUCUGUCCUUUCAAAACUUUUACUCUCUCCUUGAAGAAUGGCAUCCAUGUGGCACUGGGGUAUGUUUCCUGAACAGCUUGUGUAAAAGCAGGCCGCUGGGAGUCCAAGGCUCUGUCCAGGAUUAGAUAACAGGACAUUCUGGCUCUGUCCACCGGCGCCCAGAUGGUGCCCCCUCUCCCUCCUGUUAUGGAACUGCAGAGUAGGGAUCAUGUUGACAAGCUACUGAGACGAUUCCCAACACUGUCUUCUAGACAGAAGCUGGAGGAGAUGCUGAAGAUCUGGUCCUGGCUCUGGGACCCUGGAUUUUUAUCCACCUUGAAAAAUUCUCCUUGAUUUCAGUUCACCUUAAUAUACCUAGAGUUUGACCUUAUAACUGAAUGACCACUUCAAGGAAAAGUGCAGUGGUUCUUGGCGAUGAUAAAUUGCCCACGAUGUGGAGAUGGGGAAGAGAAAUGGAAGAGAAGGUGCCCAAAUGAGGAGGACAUGGACUGAUUGAAGAAUUACUCACCAGCAACAAGGAGUUUACAAUUUUCUUGAAGUUUAAUAAUACAAAGCUCCAAAUUUGGAAAACAACAGUGAAACUCCACAGAUUUCCAGGCUCUGUUCUAGGUGUUAAGGAUUCAAAGAAGAAGUGUAUGCUUCAUGAGUGCGGCUCUCAUCUCUAAACCCUGGAAAUGGCACAGUUCUGGGCACAUAGUGCAACCCCAUAGGUGUUUCUCACAUGAAGGAUGAGUACAGGAAUAAAUAAAUGGACAUCUUGACCCAGCAAUAAAUGGCUGAGGGAAAAGACCCAAAUCUUAAAGGGACAAAUAAUACUCCUACGAGGGACACUUCUAUGAUUUGAAGGAAAGAAAAAUAGAAAAAUAAAGGUCUGUCUUGAUGGAGGAAAGGGAGAAGAGGCUCCUUAUCAGACCCAACUGUGCAACCUGUAUGCCAGUACAGUAUGGAGACCGCCACUACCAGGACUGAAAACACCAAGCCAGGGCAUCCCCUCGGAUGCUUACUCCUACUUAGAGCUUGUGAAUGUACUAUCCAACAUCUGGCCCCAGCAAAUUUUGCAUCUCAGAAUUUCUCCACAGCUCACAUCAUGAUUUUGUAUUCUCUUUGCAUACCUUUCACUUAUUUUCGGGGUGUGGAAGUAAUAUUUCAUUACAGUAUCUGUGAUCCACACAAUGUGAGGAAUAAGGAAAAUUAUUGUCUCCAACUAGAAAAUUAGAUAAUGUAACUAGAUUUCUUUGUAUUUUUCAUUAGCAAUUGCUACUCGUGUGUCAUUCUGAGGGAAAUCAACAAAUUUAAUUUCGUUGCUUUUGGUUUCCUUUGCACUUGUUAAAGAAGAAAGAGGCUAGUGAGAUUUCCAUCCUGGGCCUCUCUGCCCUUGGACAGCAUGGGAGACAGAGGCCAUGCCCUAAGUUUUCCCUAACACAGGAGCUCAGAAGUUGCUCCUGGCUGCUCAGGCAGGUCUUAAGGACAGCUGUCAUCUGUGCCACAACACCAGGCAGGCAAUGAGGACACAGCGUUCACCUCAAGGCAGCUGAGGAAGACUCUGUGACACUGACGUGGUUGCUGGCUCCACAUCCCACACCUGGAAUGUAAACAUGCAGACCAACACCUGUGCGUUGCUGUAAACUGGGCCCUGUGUUGAGGAACAGCGUAGACCCAGGCUCAGUUCCUUGGAGAUAAGCUUGGUUAGCUUCUCUGCAUUUUUCUUGGCCAAGCCUAGCCGUGAUGAAGAACCUGAGCCACAACAAGCAGACAUUCUCUCUCUUUUUUUUCUUUUGAGGAAGAUUAGUCCUGAGCUAACAUCCACAGCCAAUCCUCCUCUUUUUUUGCUGAGGAAGACUGGCCCUGAGCUAACAUCCAUGCCCAUCUUUCUCUAUUUUAUAUGUGGGACGCCUGCCACAGCAUGGCUUGAUAAGCGGUGUGUAGGUCUGCACCUGGGAUCUGAACCAGCACACCCCCGGCCACCGAAGCAGAGCAUGCAAACUUAACUGCUGCACCAUGGGCUGGCCCCAGACAUUCUCAUUUUUAUUUUAACCCUUGUGCUUGUUACAUGGCCCUAGCUGUCCCAGCCCUGCCUCCCUCCACACUCCCUGCCUCAGAAACAACAUUUCUGCAUGGAACUGCAUCCCUUUGUUUUGCUUUCCCCAACUGUGCUGGAAUUGUUUAACCCUUCGUGACAGUCUUAGAGGAAAAUGGCUAUAUGAUGCAUCUUUUAUUUCCUAAGUUAUAACUAUAGAUAAAAAUCUAAUAGAUAACUUUAUUUAUAUAAUUAUAGAUAAUUAUAACCA
ensembl:lncRNA